AGUGAACGCUGGCGGUAGGCCUAACACAUGCAAGUCGAACGGCAGCACAGGAGAGCUUGCUCUCUGGGUGGCGAGUGGCGGACGGGUGAGGAAUACAUCGGAAUCUACCUUUUCGUGGGGGAUAACGUAGGGAAACUUACGCUAAUACCGCAUACGACCUUCGGGUGAAAGCAGGGGACCUUCGGGCCUUGCGCGGAUAGAUGAGCCGAUGUCGGAUUAGCUAGUUGGCGGGGUAAAGGCCCACCAAGGCGACGAUCCGUAGCUGGUCUGAGAGGAUGAUCAGCCACACUGGAACUGAGACACGGUCCAGACUCCUACGGGAGGCAGCAGUGGGGAAUAUUGGACAAUGGGCGCAAGCCUGAUCCAGCCAUACCGCGUGGGUGAAGAAGGCCUUCGGGUUGUAAAGCCCUUUUGUUGGGAAAGAAAAGCAGCUAGCUGAUACCUGGUUGUUCUGACGGUACCCAAAGAAUAAGCACCGGCUAACUUCGUGCCAGCCGCCGCAGUAA
rnacentral:rRNA from 1 species